ACAAUCAGGUCGGCAAAUAAAGGUGACAGACCUAGAGGGAAAACAAUGGAUGCGAAAAUUCAAGGAAACAGCAUACUUCCAGGAAAACAAAAAAAGAGAAGAAAAGGAAUCAAGUGAUAAGGUUAGCUUUAGAGGGAAUAAGCCAGAAUUGGUAGAAGAUCUCUCCAAAACUGUUGAAGAUUUCACAAGCAAUGAAUUGGAUGGAGACCACCCAAAAAAAAAA